GAGGUGGCGGAAUUGGCAGACGCGCAUGGUUGAGGGCCAUGUCCCUAUUUAAGGGGUGGGGGUUCAAAUCCCCCCCUCGGCACCG
rnacentral:tRNA from 1 species